rnacentral:piRNA from 1 species
UGAGAACGGCCAUUCCCACUCCUGUCC